UCCUAACUGUCAGCCAAUCCGAGUCCUCAGGCUUCUGCUGACCCGGAAAAAGACCGCGCCAGCGACUUGGUGGUGUUCUGGCGUGCGGGUCGGGAGGAGGGGAUGAGAUUCGGAGCUCCGAAAGCGGCGGGAGAAAGGAAGGUUUUUGUUUUUUCCUUGUAUCCUUGGAUAGGGAUGGAGAUGGGAUGGAGAGAAGGGGUUGAAGCAGCGUCCACAACUUAGAGCAAUUAACACAGAAUUUCCCUGAUGCACAGCCGGGGCGCGUCGCCGACCGUUGAAGCUGUCGGAGAGACCGCUAAAGCCUCACGGAGCAGCGAGGAGGAACUACGAACAGUUUCUCUCUCUCUCUCUCUCUCUCUCUCUCCCCAUGGCAAUCGAGGAUGGCGCCUGACAUUCCUUAGGGUGAGGCGGAAGUGGAAAUAAUUUAUAGUAUGGCUACAGCUGUAUCACUUUCCCUUCCCAAUGAAAUAUUUUUGAAAUCUGUUCCAUCGAAGCGGCCACAACAGGAUGGGUCCUCCCUACUUGAGGAUUCUGCCACGACUCAGCUCCGAUUAGGCAGGGCCUGAGACAGCCUCUCACUUCUUCCUCCUCUUGUUGUGUAGUAGCGUUGG